rnacentral:rRNA from 1 species
CCUACGGGAGGCAGCAGUGAGGAAUAUUGGUCAAUGGACGAGAGUCUGAACCAGCCAAGUAGCGUGAAGGAUGACUGCCCUAUGGGUUGUAAACUUCUUUUAUAUGGGAAUAAAAUGUUCCACGUGUGGGAUUUUGUAUGUACCAUAUGAAUAAGGAUCGGCUAACUCCGUGCCAGCAGCCGCGGUAAUACGGAGGAUCCGAGCGUUAUCCGGAUUUAUUGGGUUUAAAGGGCGCGUAGGUGGAUUGUUAAGUCAGUUGUGAAAGUUUGCGGCUCAACCGUAAAAUUGCAGUUGAAACUGGCAGUCUUGAGUACAGUAGAGGUGGGCGGAAUUCGUGGUGUAGCGGUGAAAUGCUUAGAUAUCACGAAGAACUCCGAUUGCGAAGGCAGUUCACUGGACUGCAACUGACACUGAGGCUCGAAAGUGUGGGUAUCAAACAGGAUUAGAGACCCUAGUAGUC